UACGGAAGGUGCAAGCGUUAGUCGGAGUUAUUGGGCGUAAAGGGUGCGUAGGCGGCGUUUUAAGUUGGAUAUGAAAUUUUGGGGCUCAACCUCAACGCUAUAUCCAAAACUGGGACGCUAGAGGGAUGGCGGAGAAAACGGAAUUCCAUGUGUAGCGGUGAAAUGCGUAGAUAUAUGGAAGAACACCUGUGGCGAAAGCGGUUUUCUAGCCUCCUCCUGACGCUAAGGCACGAAAGCAAGGGGAGCAAACAGG
rnacentral:rRNA from 1 species